AAUCAACGCUGGCGGCGUGCCUAACACAUGCAAGUCGAACGCGAAAGGGGCUUCGGCUCUGAGUAGAGUGGCAAACGGGUGAGUAACGCGUGGGUGACCUACCUUCGAGUGGGGGAUAACGUUCCGAAAGGAGCGCUAAUACCGCAUAACAUCCCGCCUUUGAACAGGUGGAGAUCAAAGCUGGGGAUCGUAAGACCUGGCGCUGGAAGAGGGGCCCGCGUCCGAUUAGCUAGGUGGUGAGGUAAUGGCUCACCAAGGCAACGAACGGUAGCCGGCAGGAGAGGGCGGACGGGCACACGGGGACUGAGACACGGCCCAGACUCCUACGGGAGGCAGCAGUGGGGAAUUGUGGACAAUGGGCGAAAGCGUGAUCCAGCCAUGCCGCGUGAGUGAAGAUGGCCUUCGGGUAGUAAAGCUCUUUUGUCCGGGAGGAAAUCCUGGCCUCUAAUACAGGUCGGGGAUGACAGUACUGGAAGAAUAAGCACCGGCUAACUACGUGCCAGCCGCCGCAGUAA
rnacentral:rRNA from 1 species